AUCACUUGUAUAGCUUUAAAUAAACCUAGAUGGCUCUGCCAAUUCUAAUACAACCACAACGCAAAGUUUGAUUUCUUCCACAAUUUGGUGCCCUGACUCGGAGAGAGAUGCCCGGAGUGAUCAGUUGAGAUACAGACCGUCUCCUCACUGACGCCCCGGUGCCAAACUAAGGCAACAGCAGGUGACCACCAGGUGCCAUGGGCUGCACGUGGGAAGGCUCGCCGGGAGGCAGGCAUCACGGACAGAGAUGACUCAUCAGCUGUGGGAAGUCACAUGGAAGAUUGGGCAUGUGCUUGGAACCCUCUGCAGUUGCGGGUCAGUACGUGGAAGCCUCGGCAACUGUUCUCAACAUCAGCGAGACGCAGAGCUCCCUCGUUCUCAGGCCCCAUUGCCUGAGGGGCCCCGUGAGCCCCACUCACCGAGGCCCUUGCAGGGAUGGGCACAGACACUUAUAAGCCACAGGCUUGGUAUACUUGCCACCGGGGCACCAGGCCUAGUGUGCCAGUUGAUGCCUGCCUCUUCUGGUUUGUUCCUCCUCUGCUUUGCCCCUUCUUAAGUUUGGCUAAGCUCAGGGCCCCUUGCCCAUCAGCAUGGGUCAAGAACAGAUGUGGGGAUGGACAAGUUCUGAAAGCACAGCCUCCGCUCUGACUUUCAAAGGAAAGGCGGCCAUUCCCAGGCAGACAGGCCUUGGCUUUGCCCACCUACCUCGUGCCGGCCAGGGACAGAAAAGGAGGCAGCAGAACCCACUGCCCUGCAAAUGGAGGCGGGGGCACCAAGCACUUGGAAAUCAAACAGGAGGCCACACAGCAGACCCGCCUGGCUGGGUGACCCUCUGGGGGAUUUUGCUCGGCAAAAAGGAACAAGCUCCCACUUCCAGAAGCAAUGACCUGCACAAAGCUAGAAGGCCGCUCACUCGGUGCCCUGGCACAAGCACGCUCACGGGAGGACAGCGCGCUGGGCAGCCAACGUCGGGCCCUGUAAGCUGCGGCAGCACACAGGGACAAGCGCUCCCAAUACCAGAGAAAUGCGAGGCUACGAGGCUGUCCCUGGGCCCAGCCACCAGCAGGCAAUCCUCCUGAGGGUGCCUCUCAUUGACAGCAAUGUUCCACAUGGCUUCGCUUUUUCCAGGAAGGGACAGCAGCUCGGGCUCCCACAACCAGGGCCCUCUCUCCUUCCCGACCUGCCCCAGACGCAGCUCAUGCGUGCCUUUGGACAGCGGAAGCUCAUUGGGGCCACAGGUGACUUCCUGGGCAUCGUGUUGUGACUCCUCUGCAAGGACAGCCAGCCCUUGGGGGCUGGGCCAGAGGUGGCAGAGCGGCAGCUGGGCUCACGGCCUUGUGCCUUUCAAGGGCCCCGGGGGCAGCCCCAUGUCUCAGGCUCGGACUUGGGCUUGAGCAAGUCCCGGGGGAGGGCGCAGUGAGGGAUGCCCUGCUCCACCCUGCGGUGGAAGGCAGAACCUUGCUCUGGCUGCGCAAAACCCUCUUGGAGCCCCGGGCGAUGUCAGUGCCGUGAUACGCAGGAACUGGCAUGCUCAGUAGGCAAGGUUCUUUGAGCAGGUGGGAGAUCUUGUUUUCGACCAGACAAGCAGCUUGAAAAAAGGUCUUAGCAGGCUUUCUGGCACAGCCCCCCUCCUUCAGGCCUGGGGAGUCCCUGCUGGUCUGAGGCCACACAUAAAGAGAGAAGCUAAAAGCACAGCAGGGUGCUGGUGAAAACGGAGAGCGACAGGCGCAACGACGACAGGGGCCAUGGGAUCCGGGGAACAUGGAGAAUCCACCCCGCAACGCCUGCAGGCCCCCAGCCCUCAUAACUGCAGGCUACAGUGAUGGGCUGAGCCGCCUCACUUUUUACAGGAGCCACCUGGGACUGGAAACCAAGGGACCUGCCCAUGACCAGGACAGCUCCCAGCCAGCCCUGGGCUGCACGAGGGAGCACAAGGAGGCUGCAGGUGGCUGGGGACUGUCCGGUUUCAGGCCAUCUCCCACCAGCUCAGGACAGCACAUGCAGACUUCCCUGCGCAGCCCUGGGGUGACUGGGAGCUGUCCUGGUCACAGGCAGGUCCCAGUCUCCUGCCUCAAUUGGGUGACUGAGGCGCGGGGCGUGGAAAAAGCUUCAGCGGGGUGGGGGUCAGUCCCAGCCCCCUACUCUUAUCCUCUGGUGGGGCAGCCAGCAGCAAGUGAGCUGUCACACAGGGGAUCAGGGUAAGGGGCUGGGUCCUGCCCAUCCCCUGCAACUCUUUCCACACCCUGCACCCCUGCUCAGGGAGCAAGGGUAGGAGCUCCCCUCUGCCAGGUCAGGGGGAUGUCGGCCCCACCCCAGCAGCAGACAGCACCCCAGGGCCCAGAGAUAAGCAUCUCGGUGCUCCCUGCCACCCCCCUGCGCUAGCCUGAAGCUGGCCCUGGUGUCUGCAGGGGCCCAUUACUGGGCUGCGGGUACCUGGGUGCAAAUCUGCUCCCUGCUCCUUGCAUGUGUCAAUGCCUGCCCAGAAAGCCUUUUUCCGGCUGGGCUUAUGCAAGCGUAACUUGGAGACAGAGUAAACACAUGUGCAGACAUGCCCGCUCCUCAUUAACUACUGCGUGGUCAGUCUGCUACCUACAUUUACAGGUAGUAGGAAAGCACACAGUAGCCUGUGUUACCACACAGUCCCCGCUGCACGCAUUUACAGAGCGACCCUUUACUGUGCGGUAGAUUGGCCUCCCGUGCACAAAAACACCUUGUGUAUCCGCACCUGCUAGAUACAUGUAUGUCUGCGCUGCGGGAGUGGACUUACCCAAGCGAGCCAAGGCAAAGGAAGCAGCCUAGAGGCAUCAGGAGGGUACUCUGAUCUGACUUCUUUAUCCCCCCGUCCUUUAAAGCUACCAUGGGCAUCUCUUACCUGAUGCUGCAUCGUGCAGAACAGGCGCAUCCUGACCUGUUGGUCUUUCCAGACGAUGGAUUCCCUGUUGACAGUCUGUUUAGAGAGCAGGGCGUGGUAUUUAUCCCGGAUGCCAGGCAAAUUUCCGGAGACAGCAUCUCACAUUCCAGAGUUGCAUGGAGAUAAAUAACAGCAGCGCUGAAAAAAGAUGAAGGGACCCAUGUUUUUCCAUAAAUCCCAGCAAGUAAAAGCUACAUUUCUCAGGUACCAAAAGCCAUCCCGCAACUCUACAGACACAUUUCGAGGCAGGCCUGUCGGUUAGGCACCGUACAACUUCCUUCCCAUUGGAAAGUCACUUAAUGAAUUGUCUCUUUUCUUCACCGUUCUACGUCCAUUACCUCUCCAAACAGCUGCGGACCUUCACAGGGUGUGGUGAAAGUCUGCUCGUUAGCCCAGCUGAAAUGUUCAAUGUUUAAGGUAAAGCGACGUUGCGAAUAGGUAUACGUGUUUCAAGGACAGCAAAGGGCCCAAGGGUACCAAGCUGGGCCCGACCCACCCGAUUUGCCUACUAAGGUAAGAGGAUGGGCUCUGCACAUGUGGGCGCACUGUCGGACCUUGACUCAAGCUGGGCUUUUGCUACGGUCUCCCACAACAUUCCCACAGGCGAGCCGAGAAAGUCUAGGUUGGAUAAAGGGUCUGGAAGGCGGACCAAAACCUGUCCGGAUCGUUGCGUUCAGAGGGUAGCAGUCAAUGGCGUGAUGUCCGGUGGGCGGUCAGGAUCAGGUGGAGUGCCUCAGGGGUCAGCUCUGGGCCCGUUUGGGUCAUUAUCUCCAUCGGUGACCUGGAAGAUGGCAUAGAGCGCACCCUCAGCACCAGGGCCGGCUCACAAGUUUUUGGGGUCCCCUGGCACGAAGAAGGCAUUGGCAGUGGUGUGGGGGUGGCAAUCACAGGGGUGGGUGAAGGUGUACCAGGGCCCUGGGUAAACACAAGAGUGGAGGCCCCCUCCCACUGUGGCACGGUGG